rnacentral:rRNA from 1 species
GACGAACGCUGGCGGCGUGCCUAAUACAUGCAAGUAGAACGCACAGUUUAUACCGUAGCUUGCUACACCAUAGACUGUGAGUUGCGAACGGGUGAGUAACGCGUAGGUAACCUGCCUGGUAGCGGGGGAUAACUAUUGGAAACGAUAGCUAAUACCGCAUAAUAUUAAUUAUUGCAUGAUAAUUAAUUGAAAGGUGCAAUUGCACCACUACCAGAUGGACCUGCGUUGUAUUAGCUAGUAGGUGAGGUAACGGCUCACCUAGGCGACGAUACAUAGCCGACCUGAGAGGGUGAUCGGCCACACUGGGACUGAGACACGGCCCAGACUCCUACGGGAGGCAGCAGUAGGGAAUCUUCGGCAAUGGACGAAAGUCUGACCGAGCAACGCCGCGUGAGUGAAGAAGGUUUUCGGAUCGUAAAGCUCUGAUGUAAGAGAAGAACGGGUGUGAGAGUGGAAAGUUCACACUGUGACGGUAUCUUACCAGAAAGGGACGGCUAACUACGUG